rnacentral:rRNA from 1 species
CCCUUAGAUGUUCUGGGCUGCACGCGCGCUACACUGAAGGACUCAACGUGCUUGUCUCCUUGGCCGUCAGGUCUGGGUAACCCGUUGAACCUCCUUCGUGCUAGGGAUUGGGGCUUGUAAUUAUUCCCCAUGAACGAGGAAUUCCUAGUAAGCGCGAGUCAUCAGCUCGCGUUGAUUACGUCCCUGCCCUUUGUACACACCGCCCGUCGCUCCUACCGAUUGAAUGGUCCGGUGAAAUCUUCGGAUUGCUGGAUAGGACUUCAUUGACCUAUCUGCGAGAAGUUGCUUGAACCUUAUCAUUUAGAGGAAGGAGAANUCGUAACA